AGUUCACCCUUUUUUAAAAAUAAUGUGAUAUGCUAAAAUUAGACUUUGCAAAAUAACUUAAUUUAAAACGAUGCAUGCCUCCGAUGUGCGUGUGCUCCAGUUAUUGUUCGUUCUUUCAUAGAGAAAACAUCAUAUAAUAACUUGAAUUAAAGUCAACUUAAAAAUAAGAAAUCGGACUCGUCAAUUAAACAAAACAGCCUCAAACAAAAACUAUACUCCUACCUGUCGUAUUAGCCUUACGUACAAGAGGCACUCAUGAAACUAAAAUAGUGUAGCCCAAUACUAAUCCUUUUAUCAAAUUAAUUCCCAACUAACCCAUAAUAAUAAUGGCCCAACAACUUUAGUAAAUCAAAGAAGGCAAACAUAAUACUCCCAGCCAUUAACACGUCUACCACUCCAGUCUCAAUAUUCUAAUCUCUCUCUGUUCCCCCUCUCUCUAAAACUCACUUUCUCUCUCUCCUCUCUAACUCAAAUUGGAACAAACUGAAAUUCUCAAAUCUGGAACACAUUCCCAUCUCUUCUAUUAGAUUUCUUCACCAGCCUCUGCUUGACAAUUCGUCUGCUACAGAACAAGAAUGGAAGAGAACAAGCUCUAAUGACAUAAAAGUUUGCAACUUUAUCAAGAAUGAAUCAUUCAACAAUUUCCAGAAAUUCAACAAGAGUCUAAGUUCGAUUUCGUGAACUACUAUGACUGUGUGGAAGCAUGUCAUAGAAUUGAAUGCGAGACUUUCAGAAAUUGUGGGUAUACCUUUUUGGAAGGGAGAAAGAUUUUGCAAUUGCAGGAAGGAAUGAAACUCUCACGGCUUUCCGACUCCUUUUGCUAUCUCAGAAUUGGGAGGAAAGGUAAAAAUUUGUGGAACGGUUUGAGUGUAUAUAUUCAUAUAUAAAUUGUAGAUUUGAAACUGAUAUAGAGUAGUUGAGAUAUAUAUGGGCUACACGUUUGGAUAUGGGAAUUGACAAUAUUGAGAAUAUAUAUCUCUUUCCAGGAUGGUGAAGAUAUGAGAGAAACCGUAUGGUAAUAGGAUUGAGAGAAAUAUAUUUGACUAUUUUUUACUAGAAUGAAUAAUUAAUAUUUUGGACUUCUAAAAAAAUUCCAUAAACUCUUAAAAUAAAAUGAAACGAUAUUUGGUUAAAAUUCGACGAUCAUCCAAAAACUAACUUAAAAGAAAUAGAAAAAAUCGGGGCGUCACAUCACAGGUUUUAUUUGAGGUAAAGCAUUGAAAAAUAAAAUGAAUUUAUGCAUCACCUUUUAUUCAUAUGUCAUGAAAUCGGACAAAAUUGAUUCACCAAAUUUUGUCAAUUUAGUUUGGGCUGCAUACAUACGACACAUCAGCCCAAUCUAAUGGGCGUGUGCAUUGCUGCUAAUUCACAUAAUUUCACCUACUUUUGGCCCAAUCAUACUGUCUCCUCAAUCGAAACAAAUUUUUUAAUCAAUUUAGUAUAAUUAUAAACAGAUAGAAAAAUUCUAAUAAGCAAAAUAAAUGUGAUUUUCUCUCGUAAACGGAAGCAUUCAGAUCUCAUACAUAUUCAGUACUCAAUUGAAUCUAUUUUAUUAGAGGAUUUCACUUGUUGAUCGUCAAUUGAAGCGGCCGAGCCUAUUUUUAUCAGGCUCUGCGGUCUCUGUUAAGAUACAAUGAACAAUCAAUAUGGAGAAGACCAAGAUCAGUGAGUGUUGCUGGAUUUGAUGUUCCUGUGUUGCUGGAUUUGAUGUUCCUAACUCGCCUGAAGCAAGUUACAAUAAUGUCUACCCUGGAAGUGGCGAUGACGGGAGAGAACCACCUACGCUACCCCCUCACCAGCAGCAUACCUUGCUAAACUAUAAAAGGAACAGUGAUCCUUGUGGACCAUCCCUCCCAUCUCCACAGAAUGUCACUCUAAAUCAUCUGUACAUUGAGAACAGAGAACCUCCAAGAUCGGUGAUGGUGCUUGGUGUUUCGCAUCGCUUUCGUUCAAAAUUUAUCACCGUUGUGCUCUAUAAACCUGUUCCAAGAAGGUGAAAAGGUGGCAGGUAAUUUGUGUAAAGACUACUCGUUAUGUUGGUCGAUCAUGUAUCUGUGUUGAUUAUAGCGUGCUGUAGAAAACUAGCCAAAUCCGAAUUUUAUCAA